CUGUCCAAGGUAGGAUUGGAGGAAAGCGUUGGUGGGUUAUGGGUGGAGAGCCAUUCAGAGCUGUGGUUCUAAAGAUGGAAGGGUCAUCUCCUGCACCAUCAUAACAGGUUGUGCUCUGAAAUCAUUGCAUGCGUAUCAGGAACCAUAAGCUCAAACUAGAUGUCGUCUACAUACAUUCAAUCAAAAUAAAUGAUUCGAAAGAAGCAACUCAACGUU